GUGUUGCAGAUGAUGGUCCAUUGACAAAGAUUGAGUUUCUGCCUCUGGCCCAUUGACAAAGAGUGGAGUCAGGAAGAUGGGAGCUGUUUCGUCUUUAAAACUUGCUGUUCCAUUUCUCAUCCAGGGAAACAUAAUAUUCUGCCUUUUUAAUAUUUCCCAAAAUAUUUCAUUCCUCUAGGAAAGGGGUGGGUACUAACUUCCUACAUGGGGAACUACUGUACUGUAUUUAUUAGUAAAGAAUUUGAAUGUGUUUUUGCAAUACAGACAGAUUACUUUCAGAUUUUAUUUUGCUCUCACUAUGUCAAUGGUUUAACUUUCAUCUCUACAAUUAUAAAUUCUAAUUUAUUAACAAACUAAGGCUUUGAGGAAAUGUCUUGAAACUGAUAAUUCUCUAAUUCAAUUUCCUCUAAUGUGUUUGUACUAAUCUUCUAAAGAAACUCUUGAGUUGGAAAUCCAUCUUUACUGUAUAAGAUACAAUUCUGAUUGGUGUAUUUAUAUAUGCUUUAUGGAGAUUCUCAAUCAUCCAGGUUAUGGUUGUCCCAAAGGUGCUUUUUUUCCCUAAAAGGUAACUGAACUUUGUUUGUUUUUUCUUUGAAAGCAUUUUGCUUCUCAUUGAAGAAGUUUCUUCAGUUCUAAUUGAAAGGUGGAGAAUGGAAGAAUUCAUAAUAUUUGCAGUUAUCCGAUCAUUAGCUCUCUGAGAGUCAGUUGAGACCACUUGGGGUUUAUCUGUGCCCUCAAGGUCAUCUGAAUCAGAGUACAAAUGGGUGAGGAACCUUCUUGGGACUGCUGUAAGGACUGUAUUGUAGACAAGAGAAAAAUACAGUGAUGUGAAAUUUGCUGUCUCCCUUGCCAGUUCCAAUUCUGCCUCUGUUGCUGGCCUUCUCGCAUAAGUAAUGAAUGACAGCUAAUGGAUUUUAUACACCUUCAAGCUGCUUUGGACAGCGUCCAAAUAAGGGAGGAAGGGAAAUGUUACUUUAAAAUUGGACUAACUAAGGAUGACUUAAGUUAUUUCAUUCACAGGUUUUUUAUAUGCAAGUUCAACACUGAGCCAAAGGAGAUCCCAUACCUCUCCUUAGAAAAACUGUCCGAAUGUCU